rnacentral:rRNA from 1 species
GCCUGCAGCCAUACAGCUCUGACUUUUGAUCCAAUCAGAUUUUGUAAGGUAAGUCAUGUCAAGGCCUGGUCAGUAUUUGGAUAGGAGACCUAAAAGGGAUUUCACGUUUCUGCAGGAA